ensembl:lncRNA
AUAUAGGCAUGAAAGAACUCAGACUACACAGUGAUUGCCAGGAGCUGUAACAAACAGGAGUCUGUGAGUAGAAGAGGACAAUAUUUCUAGGGAAACAAAUAUAUCCAGGACUAGGAUUUUUAGGAUUUUUUUUUGUACCUGAACAGGUGGCGCUGCCUCCCACAAAUCCAAAUUAAUCCACUUUAAGGUGAUUGAUGGCAAGGACCUGCGUGUAUGGAUGGGCCUGAGCUUUCCCCAUAUCCUCCUGUGGCUUAUUAGUCACGGCAGGUUGAAAUGCUCCAGCCAUUAAUGGCUGAUGGCGCAACAGAGAGCAGUGCAGCGGAACUGAGAGAGUCAGAGUCUCGCCUCAUUUCUGGCUCAUGCGCAUCUUCUUCAAUUAAUAUGGAAAUCGGCUGAUCCUUUGACAUCCAGCGUUAGAAUAUCCCUUUAAGGCCGUCCCUUUUCCCCCUCUUCCAAUUCACUCAGCUUAAUUUGAAAAUUAUUCUUUUUUCCCUCCUAUUCCUGAAAGGCAAAAGCUGAGUUAAUUUGGUUAAUUCUUUUUGGAUGAGUGUCUUCUACAAACAGAAAACCUAUGAGGGAAUUAAAGGGAAUGUCCUAAACCUGUGCAUCCGGAUUUAUUUAUAGUAAUAUACGUAACAUGUAACGGUAGUUGAUAAUACUGUGUCUCAGUUAAUAUUGUAGUCAAUAUACUGCAGUGCAAUAGCCCAAGGACUGAUUUUUACCAUGAAAAAAGCUUAAGUGAAAUUCUCACUCUUACAGAGUGGUAAAAUUGACUAAGUACAGAAGGUCAAGCACAAGGACAGUCUACAUUGAUUGCAAGUGAAAACGGUUGAGACAGAGCUUUUCUGAGAACUCCGCCGCUGAAGAUGUCUCCUGAAAUAGAGAGACGCUCAAACAUACCUUAUUUCCAUCACAUAUAUUAGCAAUAUUUCUUGCAUGAAUAUUUCUCAAUAAAUCCAAGACAAUAAGUCACUUCACAUGUUUGGAAGGUAUGUGUGUGUGUGUGUGUGUGUGUGUGGCUGUGACUGUAAAUAAGAAGUGGAAGGAAACUUACAGGGAGAAAAAUCUGCUUCAUAUUUUUAAAAGACUGGUCAUUUUCAAGUGACUAAUGUGUAUUGAUGGUGUAAUAAAGUCAAAAGAUAUGAUAUAUCAUAUUAUCAUAAUGGUAUUGUUGCUCUCUCAGGUGUAAAGUAAUGGGAGGACUCAUUGCUGAUGUCUCACUAAUCUGGAGUGUGUGAUCCAGUUAUGAAAAUCUAGUACUCGUGAUAACUGUACCCAUUAAUGAUGGUUCUGUGUAGAACUGUACGACAGAGUGAGUCAUAACAGAGAGGUUUCCAAAACUGAAACCCUUUGAGGAGGCUAAGCAGUGUUAAUUAUACAAGAACCACUCGAAGAACCGUUUUACUAAGAAUGUAGAAAGUAGGCUGUUGUUCAGACUGUUGUUCUUUCUUUUUUUUUUUUUCCAUGGAUUACCUGAUUUACAUGUUCAUUGACAUGAAAUCUAUUCAUUUGAAUUUUAGUAAACAGUUGAUGAAUUCAUGAAUUCUGUUGCUCAAAAAAUGUAAUGUA